rnacentral:sRNA from 1 species
UUAGGUAGUGUGGUAUUGAUGGGUUCAAAAGAUCUGUUAGCCACAGAGAAACCACUAUCUAUGCAAUACAAAUUUCAUUUUAGGAAAAAAUUAAAUUCAAAAGUGUUUCUCACGUUGGCAUGAAAGGUGCUUACAUAGUAAUGGGUUGUCCAUUGCACAUUUAACCUGAAAGGUUAUUUGUAUUUUCAUGAAAGGAUUAUGUUUGGUAGGCAUACUAGCAUAGUUUGAGUAUUGGGAGAGUAGUUCCAACGUCUAAGAGUGGUUAGCUAUACUGACCAGCACUGAUCACUACUAUAUAAAGUAUAGUGGAUAAUGAGGGAAAAGAUAAUCCUCUCAAGGUGGUCAUUUAAACGUGUAAUCUCAGCGU